GACGAACGCUGGCGGCGUGCUUAACACAUGCAAGUCGAGCGGAAAGGCCCUUUCGGGGGUACUCGAGCGGCGAACGGGUGAGUAACACGUGAGUAAUCUGCCCUUGGCUUCGGGAUAGCCACCGGAAACGGUGAUUAAUACCGGAUACGACACAUCACUGCAUGGUGCGUGUGUGGAAAGUUUUUUCGGCCAGGGAUGUGCUCGCGGCCUAUCAGCUUGUUGGUGGGGUAAUGGCCUACCAAGGCUUCGACGGGUAGCCGGCCUGAGAGGGUGACCGGCCACACUGGGACUGAGACACGGCCCAGACUCCUACGGGAGGCAGCAGUGGGGAAUAUUGGACAAUGGGCGGAAGCCUGAUCCAGCAACGCCGCGUGAGGGAUGACGGCCUUCGGGUUGUAAACCUCCUUCGGCACAGACGAAGCGCAAGUGACGGUAUGUGCAGAAGAAGGACCGGCCAACUACGUGCCAGCAGCCGCAGUAACAC
rnacentral:rRNA from 1 species